CUUUCCGGAGACCGCGGCUACUCUUCCCUGAGCGGGAGUGGGAGACGGAUCUCUUACUUUGAAAAAAUACAGAUUGUUUCAAGCAUGCCGCUCGCUCUUGCAUGGUACAGCAUGGGAUGAUUGAAUAGGACUCCGGUGCUAUUUUGUUGGCUUCGAACACCAGGAAUAAUGAUUAACAGGGACAGUCAGGGGCACUCGUAUUCCGUCGAGAGAGGUGAAUUUCUCAGACCAAUGGAAGACGAACCACUGCGAAAGCAUUUGCCAGGUAUGUUUUCACUGAUCAAGAACGAAAGUUAGGGGAUCGAAGACCAUCAGAUACCGUCGUACUCUUAACCAUAAACCAUGCCGACUAAGGAUUGGAGGGUGCUCGUUUCUACCUCUUCACCACCUUACGGUAAACUAAAGUCUUUGGGUUCCGGGGGGAGUAUGGUCGCAAGGCUGAAUCUUAAAGGAAUUGACGCAAGGGCACCACCAGGAGUGGAGCCUGCGGCUUAAUUUGACUCAACACGGUGCAAACUUAC
rnacentral:rRNA from 1 species